UUUGAGAAAAGGAAGAAGAGGCCUGACUGAUAGCCCUGGAGGAGCAGAGGAUGGAGGGGAAGAAGCCCAGAGUGAUGGCAGGCACUGUGAAGCUGGAGGACAGGCAGUGGCUGGCCCAAGAGGAGGAGAAUUAAGCCAAGUGCCUGGCCAUCAGGAUGAUGAAGCAGGAGAAGUACCUUUAUAACAAGAUCAUAUUUGGCAAGAGGCACAAAAUCCAAGAGGACACCAAAUUGGCAGAGAAGCAUAAAGCCCACAACGAGGCUGUGAGGUCUCAGAGGAAGGCCAGGGAGGCCAGGUCCAUGUGAGUGGCAGCAGCCUCUUGAUGGGCAAGGCCCGCCCCUGGCAGCUGGACUUGGCACAGGCAAGCCAGAAGACCCAGACUUGGUGGCAGACCAGAGUCUCUUCCCUUUUCAUCCCCUUGCUCCCGCUGCCGGCCCUGGCUUCCUCUCAAGCUCUCUGG